UACGGGGGGUGCUAGCGUUAUUCGGCCUCAUUGGGCGUAAAGGGCGCGUCGGCGGUCUCUUAAGUCAGAUGUGAAAGCCCUCGGCCUAACCGAGGAAGUGCAUUUGAAACUAAGGGACUUGAGUAUGGGAGAGGGAAGCGGAAUUCCUGGUGUAGCGGUGAAAUGCGUAGAUAUCAGGAGGAACACCGGUGGCGAAGGCGGCUUCCUGGACCAAUACUGACGCUGAGGCGCGAAGGCGUGGGGAGCAAACAGG
rnacentral:rRNA from 1 species